rnacentral:misc_RNA from 1 species
GGAAGUAAAAUCGUAACAAGGUUUCCGUAGGUGAACCUGCGGAAGGAUCAUUAUUGUAUAACCGAGGUGCGAGGGCUGUCGCUGACCCGAAAGGUCGUGCACGCCCGAGUGCCCUCACACACAUCCAUCUCACCCCUAUGUGCACCACCGCGUGGGUCCCCCUUUGGCUUGUUCGGAGGGGGGCUUACGUCUUCACACAAACUUUGUAUGCAGUGUAGAAUGUAUUUUUUGUUUUUGCGAUCACGCAAUCAAUACAACUUUCAACAACGGAUCUCUUGGCUCUC